rnacentral:rRNA from 1 species
UGGGGAAUAUUGCACAAUGGAGGGAACUCUGAUGCAGCAACGCCGCGUGCGGGAUGACGGCCUUCGGGUUGUAAACCGCUUUCAGCCAUGACGAAGCUUUUGUGACGGUAGUGGUAGAAGAAGCACCGGCUAACUACGUGCCAGCAGCCGCGGUGAUACGUAGGGUGCGAGCGUUGUCCGGAAUUAUUGGGCGUAAAGAGCUUGUAGGCGGUUUGUCGCGUCGAUAGCGUAAACACGCAGCUUAACUGUGUGCCUGCUGUCGAUACGGGCUGACUAGAGGAGGGUAGGGGAGAAUGGAAUUCCCGGUGGAGCGGUGGAAUGCGCAGAUAUCGGGAGGAACACCAGUGGCGAAGGCGGUUCUCUGGACCUUUCCUGACGCUGAGAAGCGAAAGCGUGGGUAGCAAACAGG